rnacentral:rRNA from 1 species
GGAAUCUUGCGCAAUGGGCGAAAGCCUGACGCAGCAACGCCGCGUGGGGGAUGAAGGCUUUCGGGUUGUAAACCCCUUUCAGCAGGGACGAUUAUGACGGUACCUGCAGAAGAAGGACCGGCCAACUACGUGCCAGCAGCCGCGGUAAUACGUAGGGUCCAAGCGUUGUCCGGAUUUAUUGGGCGUAAAGAGCUCGUAGGCGGCUUGUCGCGUCUGCUGUGAAAACCCGAGGCUCAACCUCGGGCCUGCAGUGGGUACGGGCAGACUAGAGUGCGGUAGGGGAGACCGGAAUUCCUGGUGUAGCGGUGGAAUGCGCAGAUAUCAGGAGGAACACCGAUGGCGAAGGCAGGUCUCUGGGCCGCAACUGACGCUGAGGAGCGAAAGCAUGGGUAGC